UAUCAGGAAGCAAGCAGAACAGGGACUCACGCCUAUAACUGAUUGCAACUGAAAAAAAAAAAUGGGUUUGUACAAUCAAAAGCAUCAGAAGAGAACAUGCACUGGAAGCUGUAAUCUUAAUCACCUGGUUCUUAUACUUUGAAGGAAUCCUUGAUUUUAUGUGUGAGUACUCCUGAGCAUUACUCGCAUGAAUGCAAUUAAACCCCUCUCCACUUUCUUAUCCAGGGUGACUUUUGGCCAUGUUUCUUUCAUUCAUCCUCCACAUGAACAAGACACCUUGCUCCUUUUCUGUCUUAGAAUUCCAAAGGUAUCCAUGUACAAUGCAGGCAAUCUAUCCAUUUUCAUUACAUGAGAUUUUUUUUUUUGCAAUGACUGUAUAAGGAGAAAAAUUACAAAGUCUUACUGAAAAUAAAGACCACAUAUUAAUAGUA